UCUUCUCUUUACUCUCUCUCUCUCUCUCUAGAACCUCUCUCUAGCCCCGAAAUCCCCCGAAAAGCCUAGGGAACCUCCCUAGCACGAGGCGGAAGCCCCGGAGUGCUCGAAGGCUCCGAGAAGAAGAGCUUUUCGGCUCGGGAACGCUGCUCCAAGCAAAGCCCGGUUUUCUAUAAAACCCGCUGUUUCGUCGAAGAAAAUUCUUUUUAAGAAGCGAAGCGCUGUCUGAGUUCGGAAUCACCACCUUUUCAGGUAGUGGCGCUUGAGCAUAUAUAUGAUGUUUGGACGAGGGAUUACGGAUAUAGGCCUGUAGAUAUGAAAUAAUGUAGUAAGGCUUGUAUUGUACUGUUUAUGCUUUUGAUCUGUACG